rnacentral:rRNA from 1 species
AUUGAACGCUGGCGGCAUGCUUUACACAUGCAAGUCGAACGGUAACAGGUUAAGCUGACGAGUGGCGAACGGGUGAGUAAUGCAUCGGAACGUGCCCGGUCGUGGGGGAUAACGCAGCGAAAGCUGCGCUAAUACCGCCUACGAUCUGAGGAUGAAAGCGGGGGACCGUAAGGCCUCGCGCGAUCGGAGCGGCCGAUGUCAGAUUAGGUAGUUGGUGGGGUAAAGGCUCACCAAGCCAACGAUCUGUAGCUGGUCUGAGAGGACGACCAGCCACACUGGGACUGAGACACGGCACAGACUCCUACGGGAGGCAGCAGUGGGGAAUUUUGGACAAUGGGCGAAAGCCUGAUCCAGCAAUGCCGCGUGCAGGAAGAAGGCCUUCGGGUUGUAAACUGCUUUUGUACGGAGCGAAAAGGUCUCCUCUAAUACAGGGGGCUCAUGACGGUACCGUAAGAAUAAGCACCGGCUAACUACGUGCCAGCCGCCGCGGUAA